UACGAAGGGUGCAAGCGUUAAUCGGAAUUACUGGGCGUAAAGCGUGCGUAGAUGGCCGAUUAAGUCGGAUGUGAAAGCCCCGGGCUCAACCUGGGAACGGCAUCCGAUACUGGUGGGCUAGAGUGCGGUAGAGGAGAGCGGAAUUCCCGGUGUAGCGGUGAAAUGCGUAGAGAUCGGGAGGAACAUCCGUGGCGAAGGCGGCUCUCUGGACCAGCACUGACGUUGAGGCACGAAAGCGUGGGGAGCAAACAGG
rnacentral:rRNA from 1 species